rnacentral:rRNA from 1 species
CGCGGUUAUACGAGAGGCCCAAGUUGAUAAAUGCCGGCGUAAAAUGUGGUUAAUAUAACAUUAAACUAAAGCUAAACACCUUCAAAGCUGUUAUACGCACCCGAAGACAGGAAGUACUUCCACGAAAGUGGCUUUAUAAAUUAUUACUCCACGAAAGCUAGGACACAAACUGGGAUUAGAUACCCCACUAUGCCUAGCCGUAAACACAAGCAAUGGUUUACAUAUUUGCUUGCCCGGGAACUACGAGCCCCAGCUUAAAACCCAAAGGACUUGGCGGUGCUUUAGACCCCCCUAGAGGAGCCUGUUCUAGAACCGAUAACCCCCGUUAAACCUCACCCUCCCUUGUUUACCCCGCCUAUAUACCGCCGUCGUCAGCUUACCCUGUGAAGGAUUAAUAGUGAGCCCAAUUGGCAUAGCCUAAAACGUCAGGUCGAGGUGUAGCGUACGAGAGGGGAAGAAAUGGGCUACAUUCACUGAAGCAGUGCACACGAACAAUGCUUUGAAACAACCAUUUAAAGGAGGAUUUAGCAGUAAGAGAAGAAUAGAGUGCUCCUCUGAAACUGGCCCUGAAGCGCGCACACACCGCCCGUCACUCUCCCCAAAAAAAUAAGCAAUAAUAAAUAAAAAGCAAUUGAAAUAAAGGGGAGGCAAGUCGUAACAUGGUAAGUGUACCGGAAGGUGCACUUG